AUCCUUGUGAUUGACGGUUAGUUUGGCCACUGAAGGACUGCCUUUUGAGAGGCGACUUGAGAGGCGAAUCAAUCAGAGAGGAGCCGUGCCGUAAAGGUGGGACUUCCGAUAUCAAGGUUGGCUGUUAUGGAGGCGCAAAGCUUCCUCGAUGUCGGGAGUGAUAGAAAUGGUGAGGUCACACAAAGAAUCUCCAGUAGCUGGCUACAUAAUCUUGGCUGACACUGCUGUACCAAGUGAAUGCUGCACAACUGGAGGUGUCACCUUUCAGCAGGAGCUUUUUUCACCAGCAACAUUAGUGUGAGAAGAGUAGGGUAGAUUUAGAUCUGGAGUAGCUGAAUCACUUUGCUUCAGAAUGGAGAGCCAUAAGCACAAAGCACCUAUA